rnacentral:rRNA from 1 species
UACGUAGGGUGCAAGCGUUAAUCGGAAUUACUGGGCGUAAAGCGUGCGCAGGCGGUUGUGCAAGACCGAUGUGAAAUCCCCGGGCUUAACCUGGGAAUGGCAUUGGUGACUGCACGGCUAGAGUGUGUCAGAGGGGGGUAGAAUUCCACGUGUAGCAGUGAAAUGCGUAGAGAUGUGGAGGAACACCGAUGGCGAAGGCAGCCCCCUGGGUCAAGAUUUGCCC